ensembl:lncRNA
CUGUUCAGGUAAAUCCUGACUCCCAGCUUUGAGAAUGAAAGAAUGAUCAUUGAAACCUGGUUUCUGGACACUCAUUAAGCUUUGGCUGACAAGAAAGAGAAGACGUGCAAAGACAAGAACUCUCUUUAAUUUCAAAGAUGCCAAAACCCACUGAUGUGAGGCCAAGCGUGCCAGUGCACCAGCAACAGCAGUAUGACGUCUCCAGGUUCCUGAAGAUCAAGCCACUGGCUCUGGGGAUUUUGGAGCUGUUGCUAGGCUUAUUGGGACUCUGUUUGACAAUCUGGAAUGUUCAUUUAUCUCUUCUCUGGUCACCAAUCAGUUUCAUUUUAACUGGAGUAUUAACAGUCUCGGCAGCAAGCACAUGUAAACCACGCCUGGUCAAAUCCUCACAAAUGCUCAGCUAUUUCACUGCGGCAGCCGCUGCUCUGUCUCUCCGCUUUCAUUUUUAUUACACUUGGGGUGUGACCUGCUUUCUCCUGAUGGCCUGUGAUACUCUCAUCCUCAUCUUCUCUGUCACUGUUGCUUUAAGCUCCUGUUCCUGUUCCUGCAGACCAAGGUCAAGACGUGUCGAGAACCGUUAUAUGAACACAGAUUUGCCUGUCAACCAUAUUGUGCUCAUGGGCCAGCCGGACCCCUCUGCGGUGGUUCAGUCCAUUAGUUCAGUCAUGUACGUGCUGCCAGCACCUCCGCCUCUGCCACAUUACAGUCCAGUACCAACUAUACCCCCACCAGCCUACGACCAGGUCUCCGCUGCACCUCCACCAAACUACAGUCCAGUCCCAAGUGCUCCUCCACCAGCAUAUGAGUGUGAAGAUUCACAGACCAGAAGGUGA